AUUGAACGCUGGCGGCAUGCUUUACACAUGCAAGUCGAACGGUAACAGGCCUUCGGGUGCUGACGAGUGGCGAACGGGUGAGUAAUGCAUCGGAACGUGCCCAGAGGUGGGGGAUAACGCAGCGAAAGCUGUGCUAAUACCGCAUGUGAUCUGAGGAUGAAAGCGGGGGACCAGGCAGCAAUGUUUGGCCUCGCGCCUUUGGAGCGGCCGAUGUCAGAUUAGGUAGUUGGUGGGGUAAAGGCCUACCAAGCCGACGAUCUGUAGCUGGUCUGAGAGGACGACCAGCCACACUGGGACUGAGACACGGCCCAGACUCCUACGGGAGGCAGCAGUUGGGAAUUUUGGACAAUGGGCGCAAGCCUGAUCCAGCAAUGCCGCGUGCGGGAAGAAGGCCUUCGGGUUGUAAACCGCUUUUGUACGGAACGAAAAGGCUCUGGCUAAUACCUGGGGCUGAUGACGGUACCGUAAGAAUAAGCACCGGCUAACUACGUG
rnacentral:rRNA from 1 species